CGUCGAGGUGCUGAAUGCCAGGAGCUCUGAGCAGCGAGGUUACAUCAGAGGAUGAUGAAGAGAUCUGCACUGGCCCAGGCAGGAGGGCAGUGCUUGGCAGUGGUCGGUGGUGGUCACGGUGGGUGUUUAGGGAUGAGCAGUGGAUGGUGAAGAGACAGGACAUCGUUGGAACGCAGGCCCAAGGCAAGGGCCCCAGCAGGUAAGGACACACUCUGGGGACAGAGUGUAGGGUAUUGGCAGGUUGCCCUCUUGGCAGGGAUACAGGCAGUUGUUAAAGAGUGCAGGCGGUGGCAGGUUGGGAAGUGUAGGUGUCAAGUUGGGUAUCGUAGAUGGCACUUUGGGAACCAUAGGUGUUAGGUUGGGUAGCAUAGGUGGCACUUUGCAUAGUACAGGUGUUAGGUUGGGUAGCAUAGGUGGCACAUUGGGUACUGUAGGUGUUAGGUUGGAUACUGUAGGUGUCACUUUGGGAACCAUAGGUGUUAGGUUGGGUAGUGUAAGUGGCACU